GAGUAAUGUAUGGGGAUCUGCCCGAUAGAGGGGGAUAACUACUGGAAACGGUGGCUAAUACCGCAUAAUGUCUACGGACCAAAGCAGGGGCUCUUCGGACCUUGCACUAUCGGAUGAACCCAUAUGGGAUUAGCUAGUAGGUGGGGUAAAGGCUCACCUAGGCGACGAUCUCUAGCUGGUCUGAGAGGAUGAUCAGCCACACUGGGACUGAGACACGGCCCAGACUCCUACGGGAGGCAGCAGUGGGGAAUAUUGCACAAUGGGCGCAAGCCUGAUGCAGCCAUGCCGCGUGUAUGAAGAAGGCCUUAGGGUUGUAAAGUACUUUCAGCGGGGAGGAA
rnacentral:rRNA from 1 species